AUGUAUUUUCUGGCAACAAGUAGUGUUGAUGUCAAUAAUGAUAAUCAAAUUGAAGAAUCUGAACAUGAUCAAGAUGAUGAUCAUAAUUCAAAUGUUGAUCAUGAGGUCAAUGAACAGUCCUCGGGCCAGGGUCUUGAUGUUAAUAAGGACAAUACGGAGGAGGAAAAUUUGCAGCCUUCACCCGAUGCUCCGAAUAUUGAUGAGCAGGUUGAUUCUCUGUUAUCUCUAUACGAUCCUAGAACAUGGGAUAAUCUUGACAACAGCAAACGGGAUAUUCUAAUUGAAAAGGGGCCUGUGAGAGAAAUGGAUCUGGUGUUCAAGGAUGAUGAGGGUAGACAUUUCUCAUAUUUUCACUACACCAGAAAGUUAGCUAAUGAAGAGGUUAUUCACAGAGAGUGGUUGGUUUACUCUAAAGAGGUUGACAAAGUUUAUUGUUUUUGUUGCAAGUUAUUCAAAUCAAAUCAGAACAGGUCAUUGCUAGCAUCUGAUGGAUUGAGGGACUGGAGGCGUAUUAGUGCAAGACUCAAAGAACAUGAGGUUAGUGCUGAACACUUUACCAACAUGAAUACAUGGAAUGAACUAAGGUUGAGGUUAAGCAGAAACAAAACAAUUGAUGAUGAGAUGCAGCAGAAGGUUGCAAAGGAAAAAGAGCAUUGGAGACAGGUAUUGCUCAGGAUAGUUUCUUUAGUGAAGUUUCUUGCAAAACGUAAUUUGGGAUUUCGAGGAACAAAUGAGAAGCUGUUUGAACAUAAUAAUGGCAAUUUUUUGGGCUCAGUUGAAAUGAUUGCUGAAUUUGAUCCUGUGAUGCAAGAACAUAUUAGGCGCAUUCAAAACAAGGAAAUACAUCAUCAUUAUCUUGGCCAUGGUAUCCAGGAUGAGUUGAUCUUACUUCUUGCUGAUUCUGUCAAAAAGUUUAUCUUAAAGACCAUCAAGGAUGCCAAGUAUUUCUCUGUUAUAUUGGACUGUACUCCAGAUGUGAGCCAUGAAGAACAAAUGACGCUAAUUGUGCGUUGUGUGAAUAUGUCAAGUAACAUUCCAAGAGUCGAGGAGUUUUUCCUAGAGUUUUUAAAGGUUCAUGAUACAUCAGGAUUAGGGCUUUUUAAUGUGUUGAUGGAUACAUUGGACUCUCUUGAUCUGGACGUUGCUGAUGUAAGAGGGCAAGGUUAUGACAAUGGUUCUAACAUGAAGGGAAAAAAUCAAGGUCUGACUCUCAAACCUUUGUCUGAUACUCGUUGGGAGAGCCGAAUAAAGAGUGUGCAACCUAUAAGGUACCAAACUUCCCAAGUAAGAUCAGCUUUGAAGGAGUUGGAGAAGACUGCUAGGGAGGAUAAUGAUCCAGCUACAGUAAGUGAUGCUCAAUCUUUGUUCAAAGCACUUGGGAAAUUUGAGACUUUAGUUGGUAUGAUUAUUUGGCAUGACAUACUAUUUUCUAUUAAUAUGGUGAGCAAAAUGUUACAAGAAAAAAUGGUGUGCAUCGAUGCUACUCUAAAACACAUUGAUGGGGUCAAGUCAUAUUUUGAGAAGUAUAGAGAUGAAGGCUUCAAUUCUAGUAUUGAAAGUGCCAAAGACAUUGCGUUGGAUAUGGGCAUAGAGCCCCAAUUUCGUACAAAACGUAAAAGUAAAAGGAAGAAGCAUUUUGAUGAAAUCAAUGAUGAAGAUGAAGAUCUACAACUGUCAGCUAUUGAAUCCUUCAGAGUUACAUACUUUCUUGUCAUUGUUGACACCGCAAUUGCUUCAUUGUCUAGUCGAUUUGAUCAGCUGAAGGCAUUUGAAGAUUUGUUUGGUUUCUUAUUCAACUCAAAUAAUCUGAAGUCUUUGGAUGAAAGUAGUCUACGCAAAUCAUGCACCACUUUUGCAAAAGCUUUUACUCAUAAGAAGUCGCGAGAUGUUGAUCUUGAUGAUUUUUUCUCCGAGUUAAAAGUAUUGCAACUAACCUUGCCAGAUGCUUUGAUGUCAGCACUUGAGAUUCUUCAGUUUGUUACCACUGCAAAUUGCUAUCCAAAUGUAUCAGUUGCCUAUCGGAUCCUCUUGACUAUACCUGUGACUGUAGCCUCAGCUGAAAGAAGUUUCUCUAAACUGAAACUAUUGAAGAAUUGUUUGAGGUCAACUAUGUUACAAGACAGAUUGAAUGGCUUGGCUACAUGUUGCAUUGAGAAGGAUAUCUUGGAUAAAAUUGAUCUUGAGAUUAUAAUCAAUGAUUUUGCAUCUAGAAAUGCCCGGAGAAGCUUUUUUAUGAAGCAUUGA
rnacentral:rRNA from 1 species